CUUGGGCUAGUUGAGGGGACACAUCCUGCGGAGAGCUAAAGCGGUUAUGAACUGCUCAGCCAAAUAUUGGAGUCGUGCGCGCCGCGUAAAGGCUACAAGCGGAGCGCGAAGUUGCUGUUUUCUCAGGCGCCCUCUUUUCAAACUGAGUCCGGUUCUCAC
rnacentral:lncRNA from 1 species